rnacentral:tRNA from 1 species
GGAGAGAUGGCUGAGUGGACUAAAGCGUCGGAUUGCUAAUCCGUUCAAUUCGAUCAUGCCUUUCUCGAGAGCAGAGGUAUGUUUUUUCA